ensembl:snoRNA Gm25167 predicted gene, 25167
CCUGCCCCUAGAAGCACUGCAGGUAUGGCCGCUGUGUCACAUGUGUGUCAGUAGGUGGCAGAGGAGAGGCCAUAUCUGUGCUCAGUGUAAACAUCUAAAUGAUUAGUAUAGCCUAACAUU